rnacentral:rRNA from 1 species
AUGGAAGAAGAUUUUCAACCUUGUGCAAAAUCUGCUUGGCAAAGCACUGCUCAUAGGCCUUUUUAUGCAAGGACUAACCACCUUGCAGGAGCAUUGAAGGAAUGGUGCAGAAAGAAAAAACCAAUUAACCAGGAACUCAAUCUAUUGGAGGAGCAAAUAAAAAAUAUACAAAUGAAGCCGAUGCAGGAACAAAAUCAUAAACUUGAAGCAUCUCUCGUGAACAGGUAUGAAGAAAAUCUAACAAAGUUGACAGAAUUUUACAGCCAAAGGGCAAAAAAACAUUGGGCAACUAAAGGAGACAGGAACACAAGUUACUUUCAUAAUGCUGUCAUCAAGCGCAGAAGAAAGAAUCAGAUUGUUUCAAUCACAGAUACUAAUAAUGUGACUCAUUUUAAUCCUGAAAAAAUUGCUCGUGUAUUUGUGGACUAUUUCAAACAAAUUUUCCAGACUAAUAAUGCAGAUCAUGGAAGGCCAUACCUACGAACUCAACCAGAUGCUCAUCAGCAAGAUCCUACUACUAGUAUUCCCGACAAGCAGGAGAUUUGGCAGAUACUAAAUGAGAUGAGAAGAAAUGCUUCACCAGGCCCAGAUGGACUAAAUGUAGCCUUCUAUAUAGCAGCAUGGGAAUGGAUUGGAGAUGAUGUAACUGAUUUGGUAAGGAAAUUCUAUAUCACAGGUAUCAUGCCUAGUCAUAUUAAUAAUACAAACAUUGUCUUGAUACCAAAGAAAAUUGUUUGCAAGACUCCUGCUGAUUUUAGACCUAUUAGUCUUUGUAAUGUUAUUUACAAAAUCAUUGCAAAAACUUUGGCUAAUAGGUUAAAGCCCCAUCUCCCUGAUUACAUCCAUCCCUCUCAGCAAGCCUUCAUUCAAGGAAGGAGAAUUAGUAACAAUAUCAUUAUUGCUCAGGAAAUUACUCAUUCUUUUACCCUGAGAUCGUGGAAUUCUCCUGCCUUUAUGCUAAAAAUUGAUCUUGCUAAGGCUUUUGACUGUUUGCAUUGGAGCUUCAUUUUCUCUGCACUAACUCGUAAAGGACUUCAUGGUCAUUUUAGUAAUUUAAUCCAUGCAUGUAUUUCCACUCCAAUGUUCUCUGUCAUAAUAAAUGGCCAAUCGUAUGCGAGAUUCCGUAGCAGCAGAGGAAUCAGACAAGGUUGUCCCCUCUCACCUUAUCUUUUUGUUAUUGCCAUUAAUGAGCUUUCUAUCACUAUGCAAGAGGCCAUGAUGUCCAAGCAUUUGACAGGUAUUUCGCUUGGACCAAAAUGCCCCUCAAUUCAUUCUCUCAUGUUCGCUGAUGACUUAUUAGUCUGUGGCCAGGCCACCAUCCAAGAAGCAACUACAAUGAAUCAAAUCAUCCAAUCUUUCUGUACACAAUCUGCUCAAACUCCAAAUUGGAGCAAAUCUGCUAUUCUAUUUAGCAAAGGAGUUGACAUCAACACUCAGAAUGCCAUCAAGACUUUCAUGUUCCUACUAUAG